rfam:Limnoraphis robusta CS-951 contig350, whole genome shotgun sequence.
CCGUUUCGAUUUGUUGAGGGCAAAUAAAGUGAAUAUGGCUAUCAAUUCCGCCUGCGGUGAGGAUCAUUCCUUCGCCUGCAAUGGCUUCGGUAGCCGGACCAAUAAUAAUAUUAACGUUGUCUUGAAUAUAAGGAUUUCCCGCUUUGCCAAUUUUAAAAAUUUUGCCGUCUUUAAUGCCAAUAUCGGCUUUAACAAUCCCCCAAUAAUCGAUAAUUAAGGCAUUUGUAAUCACCAGAUCGACGGCGCCUUCUUCGCGAGAAAUGGGAGACUGUCCCAUCCCAUCUCGG